UUUAACAAAAUAUUCUCACUAAGUUUGAAGAGUCACUCAAAUUUCACUGGUGACACCGCCGUCUUAGUCACGUACUUUUUAGCUGCAACGGAAACCAGAGCCAGGAGUCUUUCUUCCGCGGUAGAACAAAACAAGAGAGCUUCUUCUUGGUGAACGCUCCUUUUAUCCCCUCCAUGGUCAACGGUGUCAGCUGACAAAACGUUAAAGUUUGUUGACCCAACAUUAAAGCUCCUUUUCUGUACCGCACUGAGCGAAAGUUCAGUUUCACGGCGAAUUUACAUUUCUUUGAGUACCUUUUAUAAGUGGUUUUUGUCUAAGUUGUGAUCCGCUUCUACACCUUUUCUGCACAAAGCUUUCUUCGUUUGACAGGUCUCUUUACUAUUAUUUUGUUUUGCUUUCGUUUGUUUGUUAGCAAUGUGUUGUGCCGGUGAACUUCCAGCAAAAUAGAACACCCAACGAUAGCUCAAGAUAUGUGUCUUAUGUUAUGGUUUUAUUCAAAAAUUGUUCACGCACUAACCAAGGAUUUCCAUACAAUUUUAAGAUUUGUCAAAUUCAAAGUCACGUUGUUGGUGGCAGAGGAUUGGGGAACCUUCGAGUGAGUGUUACUUGUUGUGUGUUAGGUGGUCGUGUUGUGUUUAGUAGACAGCUAUACCCACGACGUUGUAACGAUCAAAUUUUUGGUUGACAAAAUUUUGGCCGUUACACUCCCUCCUUUCUU